rnacentral:rRNA from 1 species
GGAUUAGAUACCCUGGUAGUCCACGCUGUAAACGAUGAGAACUAGACGUUGGGCGGAUAACCGUUCGGUGUCGCAGCUAACGCAUUAAGUUCUCCGCCUGGGGAGUACGGCCGCAAGGUUGAAACUCAAAGGAAUUGACGGGGGCCCGCACAAGCGGUGGAGCAUGUGGUUUAAUUCGAUGCAACGCGAAGAACCUUACCUGCCCUUGACAUCCUGGGAAUUUUGCAGAGAUGCAAAAGUGCCUUCGGGAACCCAGUGACAGGUGCUGCAUGGCUGUCGUCAGCUCGUGCUG